AAUUAGAAAGAAAGAAAAAAACAAAAUAAGUGUGUUGUUAGAAGGGUACCACAAACAAAACCUAGUAAGUACAAAACAAAGAAAAUGUGCUUCGUCGGUACAGUCUUAUUGUUGUGCGCCGUCGAUUGUGUUGUUGUGCAUCGUCGAUUCCGUCGUGGUUCUCCGCAGAUUGCAUUAUCGCCAAUAGUAUUACUCCAUGGUAUUUCUGUUGUCACUAUUAAUCUCUGCCAAUUGCGUUGUCGUGGCGAAUUCCAUGACUACAUUGCAGGUUGCUAACGAAUUGGACCGACCCGGUAUUAAGGGUUUCGUUAACGCGUUUGGUCUCUUUUAUAGCUGCUUCCUUCUCGUGUCCUCGUGUCUAAAACUCGGUAAUGGAAGUUGUGCUCAUCCUUGAUCUUAUCUCGCUUUUGCUUCAUCUCUUGGUUCUGAUUUGCGUUGUUGUUUUAGUUUUCGGUCUUCCACUGAUUGAUUAAUGAUGCAGGUAUUAGUACUUUCAUCCUUAGCUUUAUUCUUCUUCAGCUUCUUCCUUAGGUGGUAAUGGUUUCUGAUUUAAUUUUCCAGAUUUCGGAGGUUCUAAAUGCUACCCGGUUACUGCCCAUUCUUUAGUCUUACCUUUAAUGUUUUAACUUGCAAAUUUUUAGGGAAAGACGGUGUUGUGCGAAACCUAAUUCCAACUUUGCUCAACCUAGUUCCAACAGCGCUCAACCUAAUUCCAACAACGCUUAACCUUAUCAAAACAAACAAUGUAUAUGUUGCUGCUAUGGGAAACGAUUCACGCACGUGUUACUUCUGUGGGAAACGAUUCACGCACGUGUUGCGGCUGUUGGAAACGAUCAAUGCUGUCGUAUUGUCGCCGUCGUGGUAUUGCCUCCGUUCAUAUUAUCGUGUUGCUUGUAUUGCUGUGUUGUUUUGUUGCUGCUUGCUCGGUUGUUAUCAUCUUGUUUCUACUUUUUCUGUAAGUGUUCAUUCAACUCAACUAUAGUAGGAAUUAUCACUAGUCUCUAUGUUCAUUUAGGUUAACAUGUUUUUGUCUUAUACCAUGUCUUUGUUGAAUUUAAGUUGAACCUGGAACUAUUACCCCUCUAAUAAUUUGGAAGAAAUAGAAUCACAAUAAAUAGAAUUACAAAAUUCUGAUUCAAGUUGUGUAUACUGUACUGAAUCUGAAACAAGUUUUCAUCUUUUCUGCCACUGUCAAUAUGCUAAAGAAGUAUGGAAAAAUAUUUUGUCUUAGUCGAGGUUAAAAAGUUUCAGUUGUGAUAAUAUUGUGGUCAUAUCCUUGGGUUCACUAGCUCAUCCAGAAGUAAUAAAAAGCAGGAAAGAAAAAGAACCAAUAGAAAGCAAGAAAGAAAAAGAAGUAAUUGGGGGUUGGAUAGAAAAGGGGCUGGAAGGUUGACGGCGUCGGAAACAAGGGCUUAACUUAUGAAGAGUUUGAUGUGGUGAAAGAAACUAUGAUAGGAGUAGACUAAAAUAGAGUUGCUAUAGCAGUACCUCAAAGGAGAUACUAAGGACAACAUUUGUUUCUCAAUUUUCGGAAAAUAAGAAUAGAAAAAGAAGAUCAAGUAUAUAUUGCUGUACCGAGAAUCCAUUCGUCGAACUCAGUUCUCAACACAUUUCUAAGUAAGAGUAAACUUUUUCGGAAGCUCGUGUAUAAAUGAACACCUCUAAUAGAACGUAGUGAUCUUCUCUUUUUGUGAGGUAAAAUGAAACCAAGGUAUUAAUGAAGAUGAUGAUGAGGACAACGGCGUAAGUGAUAAAAGUGAUAAAUUUUAAGAGGAGGGCUUAAGUGAUGAGGACGACAUAGGUGAUGACCUUCAAGAGGACGACAUAGGUGUGAUGAAGAGGAUGAUGGAGAUGACGAUGAGUUCAACAAAUUUAGAUGAGUUAGAUGUUGUUGUUUUAGGUUUCUACUUAAGCAUUAAACUUAAAGAAACUGUGUAUUUUGUCAUUUUGCUAGACUUAAUAUUCUAAGUGUUAAACUUUUAGUACUAAGUAAUGUUCGACAUUUUCUGUUUAUUGUGUGUAUUUGACCUAAUGUUUGAAGAUUUCAUUACCACGAUUUUUGUGGUACAUGCAAUUUAUGUUUGGUGUAAUUAUUGUUUGAAUUGUUUAUUCAAUGAAAA